UCUUAUCUUUAUUGGGGCACUUGGUUCCUGAUAAUGAUGUUUUUAGAACCAAGCACAUGGCACCACACGGUACAGGUAUUCUCUUGUUGAAGGUAGUACUGUUUGAGUCGCUGUCAAACAUUAAAUGUAGAUAUCUCUCUCAGUAAGGAUUCGAAUAUUGAUUUGUCAUGUUGUGAAGAACUAGUUCCUU